rnacentral:snRNA from 1 species
AUACUUACCUGGACGGGGUCGACGGCCGAUCAAGAAGGGCCGUGGCCUAGAUCAAUGGCUCACAUUGCACUUGGUGAGCGCGUUGGUUUACCAUCUCCCCAAGUGGGAGAGUGGACGUCAUAAUUUGUGAUAGAGGGGGUACGCGUUCGCGCGGCUCCUGU